CCUACGGGUGGCAGCAGUGAGGAAUAUUGGUCAAUGGACGAGAGUCUGAACCAGCCAAGUAGCGUGAAGGAUGACUGCCCUAUGGGUUGUAAACUUCUUUUAUAGGGGAAUAAAACGUGCCACGUGGGGGAUUUUGUAUGUACCAUAUGAAUAAGGAUCGGCUAACUCCGUGCCAGCAGCCGCGGUAAUACGGAGGAUCCGAGCGUUAUCCGGAUUUAGUGGGGGUACAGGGAGCGUAGGUGGAUUGUUAAGUCAGUUGUGAAAGUUUGCGGCUCCACCGGAAAAUUGCAGUUGAAACUGGCAGUCUUCAGUACAGUAGCGGUGGGCGGACUUCGUGGUGUAGCGGU
rnacentral:rRNA from 1 species